GAUGAACGCUGGCGGCGUGCCUAAUACAUGCAAGUCGAGCGAACGGACGAGAAGCUUGCUUCUCUGAUGUUAGCGGCGGACGGGUGAGUAACACGUGGAUAACCUACCUAUAAGACUGGGAUAACUUCGGGAAACCGGAGCUAAUACCGGAUAAUAUUAUGAACCGCAUGGUUCAAAAGUGAAAGACGGUCUUGCUGUCACUUAUAGAUGGAUCCGCGCUGCAUUAGCUAGUUGGUAAGGUAACGGCUUACCAAGGCAACGAUGCAUAGCCGGCCUGAGAGGGUGAUCGGCCACACUGGAACUGAGACACGGUCCAGACUCCUACGGGAGGCAGCAGUAGGGAAUCUUCCGCAAUGGGCGAAAGCCUGACGGAGCAACGCCGCGUGAGUGAUGAAGGUCUUCGGAUCGUAAAACUCUGUUAUUAGGGAAGAACAUAUGUGUAAGUAACUGUGCACAUCUUGACGGUACCUAAUCAGAAAGCCACGGCUAACUACGUG
rnacentral:rRNA from 1 species